rnacentral:rRNA from 1 species
GACGAACGCUGGCGGCGUGCUUAACACAUGCAAGUCGAGCGGUAAGGCCCUUUCGGGGGUAGUACGAGCGGCGAACGGGUGAGUAACACGUGGGUGACCUGCCCUCCAGCUCUGGGAGUAAGCCUGGGAAACCGGGGUCUAAUACUGGAUAUGACUCCAUGACGCAUGUUGUGGGGUGGAAAGCCUUGUGCGGCUGAGGAUGGGCCCGCGGCCUAUCAGCUUGUUGGUGGGGU